AUUGAACGCUGGCGGCAGGCCUAACACAUGCAAGUCGAACGAGUGGCGGACGGGUGAGUAAUGUCUGGGAAACUGCCUGAUGGAGGGGGAUAACUACUGGAAACGGUAGCUAAUACCGCAUACCAUCGGAUGUGCCCAGAUGGGCUUAGCUAGUAGGUGGGGUAACGGCUCACCUAGGAGACGAUCCCUAGCUGGUCUGAGAGGAUGAACAGUCACACCUGGACUGAUACACGGUCUAGACUCCUACGGGAGGCAUCAGUGGGUAAUAUUGCACAAUGGGCGCAAGCCUGAUGCAGCCAUGCAGCGUGUAUGAAGAAGGCCUUCGGGUUGUAAAGUACUUUCAGCGGGGAGGCGUUACCCGCAGAAGAAGCACCGGCUAACUCCGUUCCAGCAGCCGCGGUAAUUC
rnacentral:rRNA from 1 species